ensembl:rRNA 5S_rRNA 5S ribosomal RNA
GUCUACAGCCAUGCCACCCUGAACGCGCCCGAUCUCGUCUGAUCUCGGAAGCUAAGCAGGGUCAGGCCUGGUUAGUACUUGGAUGGCAGAACUGCUUUCUUUGUGGCUCAGAAGUUCUGGUAUGUACAGAUA